UCAUAUGUUAGGGUUCGGCCCACAAUAUAGUUGAAUCUAUGGCCCAAAAGGGCUAUUAAAGGCCAAGCUCAGUGAAUGCUCUGCCAUUGUUGGUUAGGUGCUAGUUGAAUCCGGGGAAUUCGGUCAAUGUCAGAAUCGUGAGGUGGUUGAGAAUGGUUCACCGUUGUUGUUCGAGUCCGGUGAGAUCGGAGCUCUCUAAGUAUUAGAUAUAACUGCCUCUCCGAAGGUGGUGGUCGUGAAGUCAUAAACCGACUGUGUUAGUCUACGAUCGGUGUUACCAACCAAACGUGGUUGAUGGCCUCUCCAAAAUAAUUUGCAGGACUUUAAAUAUAUCAUUAAUGAAAAAGAAAUUUGAUCAACAAAUUGGUAACCAACCACGGUGGAAGACAAGACAAAAUUAUUUAUCCUACGUCUGAAGAAGUUUUUAUAUGUCUAUGAUCCGGCCUAGUAAUCGGAAGGAUGACAUAGUAGGAUAUCAGGAACAAACAUCGAACAUCUCAAUUGGAGUAUUUACUUCGGGACACCCACUCCUAGAUAUGCUCAACAAAUGAAUAACUAGCAAAUUACCACUAUGUAGACUAUGUUGCAUGAUAAAAAAAAAAAAAAAAAAAAAAAAAUGCGAUUAUUAGCUCAACAGUUUAACCAGCUCAAUAAUAAUAAUAAUAAUAAUAACUACUUUGAUAAGUACACUUGAAUGAGCAAAUUCUGUGUCAAUAAGGCGUUCAGUUCGGUGUAUGCUUCUUUGGCAUUACGAUUUGCUGGUUUAAACCAAAUGUAACUUUAGUCACUUAUUAUUAAACUAUAUGUAAUCUUAUAUCAUCAACAAAAAAUAACAGCAAACAACGGAAUUACAUGACAUGUACGCCCUCCCUCGUUGCAAUAACAAAACAAAAUCAAACUCUCAUCACACCUCCAAUUUUUCAGCAGCUCAUUCCACUCACUAGCUCCAGUCUAUCAGAUCAGCAUCGAUGGUGUAUCUCACUAAACAAAACAAAAGAAAAGAAAAUUCUGAAUCUCACUCUCUCUCUCUCUCUCUCUCAUGCUAAGCUAAA